GGUAACACGAAUAUCUGUUCAAAUGACAAUCCAUCCAAUAGUUGUUGAGUUAUUUCAGUCUGGACCAAAAUGGUGGACCGACCAACAGACAUUGCCAUCAACAAGUAAAGAAAUAAUAAUUUCAGAAAUCAUUCUGCUGUGUUGCACCUGUCUCAUGCAGGUGAAACCAGAGUAACCAUGUAAACAAACAAUAAAACAUAAUAAAGCCAUGAUUUGCAGUGUAGCUCUACUCUGACAGAGAAGUAAACAGGGUCUCAUUAUUCACAGUGUGGACUGUGGCGGAGAGAUUCUUUGUACGCAGCGCUGCUUUGUGUAGUGAGUAAGCUUUCUAAUUACAAAGUCACCAUCCAAAGCAAAGCAAAGAGAUACAGACAACAUGUCCUCCCCUGGGUUUCUGUCCAGAAUCACAUCUCUGUGCCAAAUGGCAGCGUGGUCACAGCGAAACAAGGUCCAAUGUAUUUAGUUGGAAAUUUGAUAUGCUAGCGACCUUGUGACAGAUGCACUGUGACCAAAACUGACAGGUCGCCGCAGCAAUGAGAGUUUUGUUUGAGGAAAACGUUACCUAGAGCUGAAGGGAAAACAAGGUUCUGAUAUUUGAUUGCUAGAGUGCAUUAUAGCAAGUGGACAGCAAAUCUCAUGCACACAGCUUUGAUCCUUUGGCUGGACUACACGUCAGAGCUGUCUGGGUCUUAUCUGGUGUCUCUUUCCUGUACCUGCGACAUGCUGAGGCUUCAUGGGGCCUGUUUUCAUGAGGAAGGGCUCUCCACCCUCGAACGCCAGGAUCGGCUCGCUGACCAGCCCGCUCUGAGUCUGCGCCGGGUUACCGCCGUUGUUCAGCUGCAUGAUCUCCUCGAAGUCAGCUGCCUCUCCGUUGGCUGAGAUGCCGUUCUGGUGAGCGGCGG